CGUAUCCCCGUAUCAUUGAAAAAUAAUAGUUACCCAUUCUCCUUUUAAACUACUCGAAUAAUUACGUCAUUUUAAUGACUGCGUAUCCCCGUAUCAUUGAAAAAUAAUAGUUACCCAUUCUCCUCUUAAACUACUCCAAUAAUUACGUCAUUUUAAUGACUGCGUAUCCCCGUAUCCCCGUAUCAUUGAAAAAUAAUAGUUACCCAUUCUCCUUUUAAACUACUCAAAUAAUUACGUCAUUUUAAUGACUGCGUAUCCCCGUAUCGUUGAAAAAUAAUAGUUACCCAUUCCCCUUUUAAACUACUCCAAUAAUUACGUCAUUUUAAUGACUGCGUAUCCCCGUAUCCCCGUAUCAUUGAAAAAUGAUAGUUACCCAUUCUCCUUUUAAACUACUCAAAUAAUUACGUCAUUUUAAUGACUGCGUAUCCCCGUAUCCCCGUAUCAUUGAAAAAUAAUAGUUACCCAUUCUCUUCUUAAACUACUCGAAUAAUUCCUCUUAAACUACUCGAAUAAUUACGACAUUUUAAUGAGUGCGUAUCCCCGUAUCCCCGUAUCAUUGAAAAAUAAUAGUUACCCAUUCUCUUCUUAAACUACUCGAAUAAUUCCUCUUAAACUACUCAAAUAAUUGCGUCAUUUUAAUGACUGCGUAUCCCCGUAUCCCCGUAUCAUUGAAUAAUAGUUACCCAUUCUCCUCUUAAACUACUCGAAUAAUUACGUCAUUUUAAUGACUGCGUAUCCCCGUAUCCCCGUAUCAUUGAAAAAUAAUAGUUACCAAUUCUCCUCUUAAACUACUACUCGAAUAAUUACGUCAUUUUAAUGACUGCGUAUCCCCGUAUCCCCCAAAAACAAACACUAUCAAAAUUCAAAAGUGGCCGGGUAUUCUAUAAUCGCUCCNNNNNNNNNNNNNNNNNNNNCGUAUCCCCGUAUCAUUGAAAAAUAAUAGUUACCCAUUCUCCUUUUAAACUACUCAAAUAAUUACGUCAUUUUAAUGACUGCGUAUCCCCGUAUCCCCCAAAAGCAAACACUAUCAAAAUUCAAAAGUGGCCGGGUAUUCUAUAAUCGCUCC
rnacentral:lncRNA from 1 species